rnacentral:lncRNA from 1 species
CCAAACAAAGGUUCCCUUUCAAAUGUCAAUUGUACACUACCCAAGUUUUUAGUGAGAACAAGUCCGAAAACUUAUUAGAAGAAUCACCCCAUCUACCUAUAAGGCACCUUUGAAGCCUUGCCAUAAUAUUGUUAUUUCCUCCCUUCCCAUUUGAAUCCAUAAUGCUUCACUCACUCUGCCAUGGUCAUUGCUUACCAUCUCUACAAAGGAAGCUGAAAACCCCCUUACUUGGGGUCCCUUGCCUUUCCCCCACAGUUGUGAAUUGAC